CUGCGGCAGCGAACGUAUCACCCAAGACAACUUUGCGGAGUUGACGAUUGACGGAGCGAAGCGACGUCAAAGCGUUCAUUAAAGUCGAGUUGGCUUAGGGAUACGUUCGUUGGGUAGGGGAGCGUUCUGUAAGCCUGUGAAGGUGGCCUGUGAGGGUUGCUGGAGGUAUCAGAAGUGCGAAUGCUGACAUAAGUAACGAUAAAGCGGGUGAAAAGCCCGCUCGCCGGAAGACCAAGGGUUCCUGUCCAACGUUAAUCGGGGCAGGGUGAGUCGACCCCUAAGGCGAGGCCGAAAGGCGUAGUCGAUGGGAAACGGGUUAAUAUUCCCGUACUUGGUGUUACUGCGAAGGGGGGACGGAGAAGGCUAUGUUGGCCGGGCGACGGUUGUCCCGGUUUAAGCGUGUAGGUGUGUGUUCCAGGUAAAUCCGGUUCACUUUAACACUGAGGCGUGAUGACGAGGCACUACGGUGCUGAAGCAACAAAUGCCCUGCUUCCAGGAAAAGCCUCUAAGCAUCAGGUAACACGAAAUCGUACCCCAAACCGACACAGGUGGUCAGGUAGAGAAUACCAAGGCGCUUGAGAGAACUCGGGUGAAGGAACUAGGCAAAAUGGUGCCGUAACUUCGGGAGAAGGCACGCUGACACGUAGGUGAAGUGAUUUACUCAUGGAGCUGAAGUCAGUCGAAGAUACCAGCUGGCUGCAACUGUUUAUUAAAAACACAGCACUGUGCAAACACGAAAGUGGACGUAUACGGUGUGACGCCUGCCCGGUGCCGGAAGGUUAAUUGAUGGGGUCAGCGCAAGCGAAGCUCCUGAUCGAAGCCCCGGUAAACGGCGGCCGUAACUAUAACGGUCCUAAGGUAGCGAAAUUCCUUGUCGGGUAAGUUCCGACCUGCACGAAUGGCGUAAUGAUGGCCAGGCUGUCUCCACCCGAGACUCAGUGAAAUUGAACUCGCUGUGAAGAUGCAGUGUACCCGCGGCAAGACGGAAAGACCCCGUGAACCUUUACUAUAGCUUGACACUGAACAUUGAGCCUUGAUGUGUAGGAUAGGUGGGAGGCUUUGAAGUGUGGACGCCAGUCUGCAUGGAGCCGACCUUGAAAUACCACCCUUUAAUGUUUGAUGUUCUAACGUGGACCCGUAAUCCGGGUUGCGGACAGUGUCUGGUGGGUAGUUUGACUGGGGCGGUCUCCUCCUAAAGAGUAACGGAGGAGCACGAAGGUUGGCUAAUCCUGGUCGGACAUCAGGAGGUUAGUGCAAUGGCAUAAGCCAGCUUGACUGCGAGCGUGACGGCGCGAGCAGGUGCGAAAGCAGGUCAUAGUGAUCCGGUGGUUCUGAAUGGAAGGGCCAUCGCUCAACGGAUAAAAGGUACUCCGGGGAUAACAGGCUGAUACCGCCCAAGAGUUCAUAUCGACGGCGGUGUUUGGCACCUCGAUGUCGGCUCAUCACAUCCUGGGGCUGAAGUAGGUCCCAAGGGUAUGGCUGUUCGCCAUUUAAAGUGGUACGCGAGCUGGGUUUAGAACGUCGUGAGACAGUUCGGUCCCUAUCUGCCGUGGGCGCUGGAGAACUGAGGGGGGCUGCUCCUAGUACGAGAGGACCGGAGUGGACGCAUCACUGGUGUUCGGGUUGUCAUGCCAAUGGCACUGCCCGGUAGCUAAAUGCGGAAGAGAUAAGUGCUGAAAGCAUCUAAGCACGAAACUU
rnacentral:rRNA from 1 species